rnacentral:lncRNA from 1 species
AUGACUCCGGGAGGGCUUUACCGUCCCCCGGGCCCCGCCCGCCCCCCGCGCCGCGCCAUUGGCUCAGGUGCCGCGAGGCGGGGAGGGGCAGGGGGCGGGCCGGGGAUGAUUCACCUUGAAUGUGGCUCCGGUUGGUGCUCAGCCCAGGGCACGCCCGUUCGGGACUGCGGAGACGCCGGGAGCCCCGCCUGCUCGCCCAACCCAGCGGGGUCUGGUCCCAAGGGGUCUCGCCGCCCGCCUUCUAUCUCCGCCUCCUGCCCUCGGGCUGGGGUGCCGAUAGCCGAGGUGCGCCCGGACGCCCUGCCACCCCAGCGCCCUCUGAGCCCGGAGCUAGCCGAGCAUCCUGAGAGCCGGAACGCCCCCUCCCUCCCUGCUGCUUUGGCUGCCCUUGCCAGUCCCAGCUCCGCCCCGCCCGGCCGCCCCAGACGGCAACGGCAGCUCAAAACCAGAUUAAAAUAAAACGUUAAUCCGCCCUUCUCCUUUUUAGCUCCUAGUUCUUCCCAAUCGACCCCCGCAGAUCUGGCACCCUAGAAGCCCCUAUAAAAUGAGGGUGGUGCUUAGCCGAUGCUCCCACCAAACCUAAUCCUUGCACUUAAAGACCGUUAACACCCUCUCUUGGGCUAGAGCAAAGGAAGAGGGUGAGGCAGUGGAAGCGAGGGCCGGGGAAUCUAUAGUUCCCCUCUCCCUGCUCCUGCUGAGUCAAGAGGGGCCAAGGGUGACAGCACGGAUACGAACCAUUCAGUAUGCCAGACUCUAGGGCAGAGCCUGGGCAGGGCGUAGAUGUCGCAGCCAGAUAGAUCCGGAAGUAAGAUCCCCCACCCCAGGUGGAUAACUGGACUAUUCUCAGAGCCUCGGGGCCCGUCUCCCCAUGCAGCCAGGGAUGGGCGCAGUGACCCAGAACCCCGACAGCGAAGAUAACGAGCAAGUCACAGGGCCCAACGGGCCAAAAGGGGGGUGAUAGCUCCACAUUAACCCCUCCUGGUCCUACACGCAUUCACCCGCCCAUCUAGGUCGCCCUGAGCCUCCCUGGCCGUCUCCGCACCCGCGACCUACCUGGUCCUCAGGCUCAUGGAAUGCAGGGCAGCCUGGACCGGGUGUGCCCAGGACUGCAAAGCGGGAAGCGCAGGCCUUGCGGACUGCGAGUGGCCCCCGCGGCCUGCGGCUCCCCUUUAUAGC